rnacentral:rRNA from 1 species
CGGUCCUUGACAUACUAAGAACUUUCCAGAGAUUGGAUUGGUGCCUUCGGGAACUUAGAUACAGGUGCUGCAUGGCUGUCGUCAGCUCGUGUCGUGAGAUGUUGGGUUAAGUCCCGNAACGAGCGCAACCCUUUUCCUUAUUUGCCAGCGGGUCAUGCCGGGAACUUUAAGGAUACUGCCAGUGACAAACUGGAGGAAGGCGGGGACGACGUCAAGUCAUCAUGGCCCUUACGGCCAGGGCUACACACGUGCUACAAUGGUCGGUACAAAGGGUUGCUACCUCGCGAGAGGAUGCUAAUCUCAAAAAGCCGAUCGUAGUCCGGAUCGCAGUCUGCAACUCGACUGCGUGAAGUCGGAAUCGCUAGUAAUCGCGGAUCAGAAUGCCGCGGUGAAUACGUUCCCGGGCCUUGUACACACCGCCCGUCACACCAUGGGAGUUUGUUGCACCAGAAGUAGGUAGUCUAACCGCAAGGAGGACGCUUACCACGGUGUGGCCGAUGACUGGGGUGAAGUCGUAACAAGGUAAGCGUAGAUGA